GACGAACGCUGGCGGCGCGCCUAACACAUGCAAGUCGAGCGAUGAAAUUUUAACCGAUCUCUUCGGAGAGAAGAUAAAAUGGAUUAGCGGCGGAGGGGUAAGUAACACUUAAAAACCCUCCCUUUCACAAGGGAAUAGCCUCGGGAAACCGGGAUUAAUACCCAAUAACACAUUUCCUUCGCAUGAAAGAAAUGUUAAAACUCCGGUGGUGAAAGAUGGUCUCGCGCCUGAUUAGCUAGUUGGUGGGGUAACGGCCAACCAAGGCCAUGAUCAGUAACCGGCCUGAGAGGGUGAACGGUCACAUUGGAACUGAGACACGGUCCAAACUCCUACGGGAGGCAGCAGUGGGGAAUAUUGCACAAUGGAGGAAACUCUGAUGCAGCGACGCCGCGUGAGCGAUGAAGGCUUUCGAGUCGUAAAGCUCUGUCCUAUGGGAAGAUAAUGACGGUACCAUAGGAGGAAGCCCCGGCUAACUACGUG
rnacentral:rRNA from 1 species